CGAGGGGCAGAACUAAGAUGGCGCCUGCGUCGGUCUCUCACGGAUUAACCUCUGUUCCUCCUUGCUCCGAAGAUGGUCGAGUUCGGGCCGUGUCUACGGCAGGGCGGGGUCACUUGGGACAGCGGUCUGGGCUGCAGCACAUCGGUGAGGCUUUAAUUUGGUGUGCGAUGCGAGCCACGGCGGACUCUCCCAGCAGAGACGGUGCUGUGUUUGUUUUGCGGGUGUGUAAAUUAGCGGUAAUUCGUUUGCUCAGUAAUGACGUGGGAGAAGCUAAUUAGGGCAGUGUUGAUGGGUGCAUUAAUUAGUCUCUAGUGUGUGAUGCUAAUGAGACCCUGAUUCGAAGUGUGUGUUUGUGUUUGCAUGUGCAUGAGUGUAAGCCAUGUAUCUGUAAAGGCCUACCACUAUAGGUCAUGCCACGAGGGGUGUAGUAUGGGAAGCAUGUGGGAAUGGGUAAAGGCAGGGAGAGUGUGUGUGUGAGGCAACAUGUGUGUGUGUGCAGCAGGUCUAUAUCUGCGUAUAAGAACCCCUCUAAUCAUGGUGGCUCCAUGAUGUCGGCCAUGCCUGGCUGAAUGGCGAUCCCUCCGUUCAGCGAGGAGGCAGCCGCUCGGUCACACAGCGGUGGUUUCAGCGCUAAAGCUGCAUCACAAUCAUAAAUUCAUCCCAACCUAUAAAAACGUCCCGGACACAAAACAGACAACACAGGGAGCCGUAAUGGAUGAAAGGCUGUUUUAUAAGUGUGCUCAGUGACAGGUCCACUUCACAGAUAAGAAGGAUCCAUCUGUGUGUGGUCACAGCGGGGCAGUGCUACUACACUACUCUGUGGCGUCUCUCCGUCAGGAAGUGACAAGGUGGCAGCUUGCUGUAAGAAUUUAUGGCAUAUUACUGAA